UAUGAGACGUAAGCAUUAAUUUUGCCAAGUAAACACAAUCUAAGAGUCGUGUUGUUUGGGAUUGCAACACUAAGUAGGUGGUAAACUUCACCUAAGGCUAAAUACAUACACGAGACCGAUAGCAAACAAGUACCGUGAGGGAAAGUUGAAAAGUACUCUGAAAAGACUGUGAAAAGCACGUGAAACUGUUCAUGGGGAAGCAGACGGUAGAAUCGAAGCAUGCUGUUGAUUGCUCUGAUGUUGCGAGUUCAACUCGUACACAUUGGGGUAUCUCAAUAGUGUAGCGCGCUGAGCUUGUCGUGUUUUACGUCUUGCACGUAGUAAAUGUACGCCGAUGGUUUUAGUGCAGUAAUCGAGGUGUUGAAUGAUCAACAUCAGACUUUGCUGUAUAUUUCCACUCGCUAUAGGUACAUAACAUGGCAAUGGCCAAUAUGAAAGGCGAUCUAUGGAAGUGAUUGAGUGGUAUUUAUGCUGGUACGUUGUUAAACUACUUACGUGUAUUUACUGCUUGAUUGCCAAAUAGAUCUACUCUCAGCGAGAUAUGCUGCUGUCUGACCCGUCUUGAAACACGGACCAAGGAGGCUAACGUAUACGCGAGUCAAAGGG
rnacentral:rRNA from 1 species